rnacentral:rRNA from 1 species
CCUACGGGUGGCAGCAGUGGGGAAUAUUGCACAAUGGGGGAAACCCUGAUGCAGCGACGCCGCGUGAGUGAUGAAGUAUCUCGGUACGUAAAGCUCUAUCAGUAGGGAAGAAACUGACGGUACCUGACUAAGAAGCCCCGGCUAACUACGUGCCAGCAGCCGCGGUAAUACGUAGGGGGCAAGCGUUAUACAGAUUUACUGGGCGUAAAGGGAGCGUAGACGGCAGCACAAGUCUGGAGUGAAAUCCCGGGGCUUAACCCCGGAACUGCAUUGGAAACUGGGCGGCUGGAGUGCAGGAGGGGUAGGCGGAAUUCCUAGUGUAGCGGUGAAAUGCGUAGAUAUGAGGAAGAACACCGGUGGCGAAGGCGGCUUACUGGACUGUAACUGACGUUGAGGCUCGAAAGCGUGGGGAGCAAACAGGAUUAGAUACCCCGGUAGUC